AUACGGAGGGUGCAAACGUUGUUCGGAAUCAUUGGGCGUAAAGCGCGCGUAGGCGGCCAGUUAGGUCGGGUGUGAAAUCCCGGGGCUCAACCUCGGAACUGCGCUCGAAACCGGCUGGCUUGAGUCCCAGAGGGAGAAGUGGAAUUCCUGGUGUAGGGGUGAAAUCCGUAGAUAUCAGGAGGAACACCAGUGGCGAAGGCGACUUCUUGGCUGAGGACUGACGCUGAGGUGCGAAAGCGUGGGUAGCAAACAGGAUUAGAUACCCUGGUAGUCCACGCCGUAAACGAUGGUCACUAGCUGUUUGACUAACAUUGGUUAGUUGAGUGGCUAAGCGAAAGUGAUAAGUGACCCACCUGGGGAGUACGCUCGCAAGAGUGAAACUCAAAGGAAUUGACGGGGCCCGCGACAAGCGGUGGAGGCAUGUGGUUUAAUUCGAUGAUACGCGAGGAACCUUACCAGGGCUUAAAUGUAGUAUGACCGGUCUGG
rnacentral:rRNA from 1 species